GCGUUGGGUACCCUCGGAGCGGCGAGCCAAGGCCAGGGUGCUGGACGUGGCCGCCGGGACGGGCUGCGUGGGCCGCGAACUCCACCGGGAAGGCUUCAGGCACAUAGACGCUGUGGACCCGUCGGAGGGCAUGAUGAAGCAGCGGGAGACUGGCAUCUAUACCAACGACUUCCUGGAGUUUAUCGGCAGCGGACACUCCACCGUGCCCAAAGGAGGCUUCGUGAUCAUCGUGAUGCGCCAUGAGUUCCUACAGACCGUGCCUUCCUACAAGGACAAGCUGGAGCCUUACAUGGACCAGCU